rnacentral:rRNA from 1 species
UCUUUACGGAAUAUCCCGUUAAAGCGUGUAGAUGUUGAUAGAGUAGGCAAAUCCGCUCUUGAAUCGAACGUGAUAGUACUCAAGGUUUCGAACUGAGAGAUAGUGUACCUAAUCAGACUUCCUAGAAAAACCUCUAAGCUUCAGGUAUAAGCAGCCCGUACCGUAAACCGACACAGGUAGACGAGGAGAGUAUCCUCAGGCGCUCGAGUGAGUCACGGCUAAGGAACUCGGCAAAAUGGACCCGUAACUUCGGGAGAAGGGUCGCCUCAGCAAUGAGGCCGCAGUGAAAAGUAUCAGGCGACUGUUUAACAAAAACACAGGGCUCUGCAAAAUCGAAAGAUGAAGUAUAGGGCCUGACACCUGCCCGGUGCUGGAAGGUUAAGGAAGGCUGUUAGCCGCAAGGCAAAGCUUCCGACUGAAGCCCCAGUAAACGGCGGCCGUAACUAUAACGGUCCUAAGGUAGCGAAAUUCCUUGUCGGGUAAGUUCCGACCUGCACGAAUGGUGUAACGAUCUGAUAACUGUCUCAGCCGUGAGCUCGGUGAAAUUGUAGUCCCGGUGAAGAUGCCGGGUACCCGUAACGGGACGGAAAGACCCCGUGAACCUUCACUACAACUUUGCAUUGACUUUGAGUAAACGAUGUGUAGCAUAGGUGGGAGACUUUAGAGCGGGCACGCUAGUGUUCGUGGAGUCAACGUUGAAAUACCACCCUUUGUUUACUUAGAGCCUAAUCCGCUAAGCGGAGAAAGUGCAUGGUGGGUAGUUUGACUGGGGUGGUCGCCUCCAAAAGAGUAACGGAGGCUUCCAAAGGUACCCUCAGCACGCUUGGUAACCGUGCGCAGAGUGUAUUAGCAUAAGGGUGCUUGACUGUGAGACCGACGGGUCGAGCAGGUACGAAAGUAGGGUAAAGUGAUCCGGUGGUUCUGCAUGGAAGGGCCAUCGCUCAAAGGAUAAAAGGUACUCCGGGGAUAACAGGCUGAUCUCCCCCAAGAGCUCAUAUCGACGGGGAGGUUUGGCACCUCGAUGUCGGCUCGUCACAUCCUGGGGCUGGAGAAGGUCCCAAGGGUUGAGCUGUUCGCUCAUUAAAGUGGCACGCGAGCUGGGUUCAGAACGUCGCAAGACAGUUCGGUCCCUAUCUGUUAUGGGCGUUUGAGAUUUGAGAAGAUCUGUUUCUAGUACGAGAGGACCGGAAUGGACUGACCUCUAGUGUACCGGUUAUGUCGCCAGAUGUACCGCCGGGUAGCUACGUUGGGAAGGGAUAAGCGCUGAAAGCAUCCAA